UACGUAGGGGGCAAGCGUUGUCCGGAUUUACUGGGCGUAAAGGGCGCGUAGGCGGCCACUGCAAGUCAGUUGUGAAAUCUCCGGGCUUAACCCGGAAAGGUCAACUGAUACUGCAGGGCUAGAGUGCAGAAGGGGCAACUGGAAUUCUCGGUGUAGCGGUGAAAUGCGUAGAUAUCGAGAGGAACACCUGCGGCGAAGGCGGGUUGCUGGGCUGAUACUGACGCUGAGGCGCGAAAGCCAGGGGAGCGAACGGG
rnacentral:rRNA from 1 species